CGACCGCCCCCUGGCGGGCAAAAUGGGGAACUGCAGGGAGGCCUAGAGGAUUCCCCGGAGCAAGGGGCGGAGAGCCCGGGCCGCUCUGCCUGGUGUGGGAGGGGUGGGAAGAGCAGCAGCGGAGGAAUCACUGCCCCUGCGACUUCUCCGAAAAUGGCUCCGUGUGUGUGUCCUGGGCAUGACAGACCUGGGCUCCGGCGCCCUCCCCGGACUUGGAGUGACCUGGGCGCUGACCCUGGGCAUUCUCACUUCCAGGGCCUCCAGGAAGCCGGUUGCCCGCUGGGAAGGAGGCCGGGCUGGGCAGCUGCAGGUCGAGGGCCCCGGAGAAAGGAAAGGCCGCGUGGGGACCCUGCGGGGACAGAUCUGUGAUCCCUCAUGUCCUGGGAGCCGGGCCCGGCCGCCAGGUGGGUGCAGCAGGUGACUCCUAGCUGAGCCUCGCCUGGAUUUCGAGCCCAGAAAAUCACGAGCUGCGUGGGCCGGGAAGAGAAUCAGCAUCACUGUGGAGUGAGGGGCCUCUGCCAGCCAAUCGUGCUGACAUGAAAACACACAAAACCGCCAUCCACAGAUGUGCACACACGCACGCCUCGCCAACACAGCUUCAGCUCAUUUGCAAAACCCAAAGCUGCUUGCAGGUGAGCUGGUGAACGAGAAGCAGGAAGAGGAAGCUCUUGAGGAAACAGUCAGCUCCGCCCCUGCGAGAAUGAGGCCGAACCCAAACCGCAGUGGAAAUGUCAGCACUGAGGAGGCGCAUCGCGGCUUGGCUUGUGGUGGACCCACUGCAUUUAUUGUAACUGGGUAACCCGAGUCUGUCCUGUCCCCAGUCCCCAGCACCACUGCCCCAUUCUAACAGGGUCAGCCAAGUUAAUUCUGCUAUGGAAAAGUGAAAGGAAAAGAGACACCAUAUUAAAGAAUCUUACCACAGUGAUAUAUGCACACCCAUGUUCAUAGCGGCACAGUGCAUAAUAGCUAAAGCUUGGAAACAGCCCAAGUGCCCGUCAACUGGAAACUAGAUAAAGAAGAUGUGGGUUUUUUUAUAAAAUGGAGUACUACUCAGCCAAAGGAAUGAGAAACUAGAGGCAUUUUAUAGCUAAAUGGAUGCAUAUUGAGGCCAUCCUCUUAAGUGAAAUAAAUAGGACACACACACGUGUAAAUACCGAAUCGUUUCUCUAGUGUGAGAAACUGAAACUGUAAUUAAGGAUUAAAAUGCUUAAAAUGAAUAAUGGAUAAUUUGAAAUAAGAAGAAAAGGUCCAAAGGGGUUGGGGAAGUAGGAGGGGUAAGGGAAAGGAAAAAUGAGAAAUGGAAAAAAUGGAAACAAAGUCUUUGUAAAUAGGGAAGGGUGGAGGGGUGCAGGGAGGACAGGGAAUGGGGAAAAAAUAAGAACCAAGAUGCAUCAUGCACAGGUACAAGCACCCAAUGAUAAAUGUAAAUGUAUUGUAUACCUAAAAUGUACCAAUAAAAGAAUUUAAGCAAAAAAAGACUAUAUUUACUACAAUAACAGAAGGAAAGCCCAGGAACUAAGGGUGUAUGAAGUUGAAAGAGAAAGCCGGAUCUGGGAGUCACACCCAUGCUCCCAGCAUUUGGGAGGCUGAGGCAGGAGGACUGUGUCAAGGUUGAGGCCAGCCUGGGCUGCAUAGUGAGACCCUGUUGAGAGAGUGUGUGCAGUGAAGUAAUUCAGUAUCUGACAGAAUAUAAUGCCCUGCUCAGCUGGUGUGUGCCAAGGUCCAAGGACAUGAUGUCUUUCUACUUCUGUGCCAAAAUAUAAACACACAAGGAUGCUGGAGAUCCCCAUAGUCAGGUUCCAGUAGCCACCUGCCCAGUGUGUGAUGCAGGCCUGAGAAAAAGAAUACACUAAGAGACAGAACUAGGAGAGAAAGCGGGGCAGGAUGACCAACGCUGGUGCAACCGACAAAGGCCUGGCCAGUCCCAGGCGCUGACUUUUAUUGGCAAUCAGUUGGGGUAAAGGUGAUGUGUGGUUUCUAUGGAAAUUAAUGUAAACAAGGCUCAUAAAGAACAAGAUGAGUCAGGAACAGAAUAGACAAAAUAUAUGGUUGUAAUUAGAACACUGUCCUAGUCUGAAGGUUUAAAUUGUGGGAACAGAAUUUGGGUGUGAGAUACUUUGACCUUGGCAUGUAGGCUUCGGCCAGACACUCCUAUAAACAAGCCAGUCAUGGGGUUAACUCUUCACUGCCUGCCUUGGGCGUGAUCAAUAUUACAGUCCUCUGCACAAGGAUUUUAGAAAGUCUCACCCAUCCAUCUGAG
ensembl:lncRNA